UACAGAGGUGGCAAGCGUUGUUCGGAAUUACUGGGCGUAAAGGGCGCGUAGGCGGCUUGGUCAGUCCCGUGUGAAAUCCCUCGGCUCAACUGAGGAACUGCACGGGAAACUGCCUGGCUUGAGUUCGGGAGAGGGAAGCGGAAUUCCGGGUGUAGCGGUGAAAUUCGUAGAUAUUGGGAAGAACACCGGUGGCGAAGGCGGCGCUCUGGACCGAGACUGACGCUGAGGCGCGAAAGCGUGGGGAGCAAACAGG
rnacentral:rRNA from 1 species